rnacentral:lncRNA from 1 species
ACCCACAGAGAUCCGCUUGCUUCUGCCUCCUUCCUGAGUGCUGGGAUUAAAGUUAUUAUGACUAUUUAUAGAUGAUAGCCAAAACCAAGGUGAUACAUCUGGAAGUCACAAAAUGGCAAAGACUGCCUGCACUUUCCAGAAGCCAGGAGAGUAGUGCGGAAUGGAUUCUCCCUCUUAGAGGCACCGAUCUUGCUGGCAUCCAUCCUGAUUGCGGACUUCUGCCUACCACACCUCUGAGACAGUGAAUUGUGUUAUUUAAGCCAUUAAUCUGUGCUAUUCAUAAUGGACACCCCAGAGAACGCUCAGCUCUACUACACGUGGUGGACUGGGCUUAUCUUUUUUUCUUUUAUUUUUGAGAUUAUAAUAUAAUUACAGCGUUUUUCCCUUUCUUUCCCCACCCAUUACUUUUCUCUUGAGUCCUGGCUGACUUUAUGACUUCUGGCGCAGAGUGUGGGAGACAUGAUUACCUGCCAGACCUGGGCCAGAGUCUUAUGAUGCUUAGCAGCUUCCGUUUAGAUCCUCUGAGAAACCAUCUGCCAUGCUGUAAGGAAGUCUAGACUGUUCUGCUGGUG